ensembl:lncRNA
GUGUGGAAACAAAUAGAUACGGUUUAAGAGGUUAAAUGUGGGUUGACUGGGAAUGCCAGCCAGUCAAUCGGUAGUGUAGGGUUAAUUUGGUUUUGAUUGAGUAGCAAAAACGCGGUUUUGGGUCUCAGGUAAUUAAACUGGAGGGCAGGGUACCCACAGGGAGGCUUUUAAAAUAAGUAAAUUUAAUUUAGGACUGGGGCGCGGCCCCUAGGAAUGCAGUUGUUCAGCGUUUUGGCAGACGCCACAUGCAACGGACGCGUUGUUAUGGUUAAGCUCGGUUUGGUCUACCGAGGGCACUUGGGACGCCCUUAAUGGCCAGGUAAUCUAUGAGUGAUUGCCUUCUACUGCAUUAAUUGGCAGGUAGAGUCGCGGACCGGCUGCCUCCUAUUUAAACGUCAGGAGCUUGUGACCUUUAAGUAAAGCCAAAAGCGUGAUCUGGGAUAUUCACGCCGCUGGUGGAGAUCCGGGUGUCCGGGCGGGGAAGCAGUUUUAAAGUACUAGAACUUAGUAAUUUGACCGUUUUUCAAGGCGGCGUACUUGAGACGGGUAAUUGAUCAGCAAGAGCGAGGCUCUGGGCUGAAAGAUGCUUUUAAAUUAGUCAAAAAUUUAGCAACACCAGCAGAGAAAUAGAGAACUGAGAUAAAGUUGUUCUGGCAUAGGGUGUUUUUUAGGAAUUUGAGCGCUAUCGGGAGGGCGUUCCCGAGGUGUGUAUUGACCAGCAAGGCGAGGCCUGGGCUAUAGGUGCUUUUAAAUUAGUCAAAAAAGAUAGGAGUAACCUCUUCUGGUAUGACGUCUAUGCGGGCCCGUGUGUAUAUAGAUUAUAAAUUACCGGUGUGUGUAAAUAAGUUAUAUAAAUCUGUUAGAUCUGAAACUCCUGCUAAAAAACUUCCUCUCUACAACUCUUUUCUCUUCUCUCCCUCUUUCUCUCAGUUGGGAUUCUGUGUGUGUAUGUGUGCUGGAGAAAUAAAAAAAGGAAAAGGGUCUCUCUCUCUCUGUCUCUGUGAGAGAAAAAAGGUGGGGGCCGAGUGAGCCCGCGGGGCCGAGCGGGUCCGCGGGAGCGAGCGUGUAUGCUGUAUGAGGAAGAAGGGAGUGAGAGGGCGCGAGUGAAAAGAGUAACCGAGUAUUUGGUGAUUUUUUAUUAUUUCAGAGGCACUGGGUAAGAGUUUUGACUUUAGCUGUGAGAGUUGUGAAAAGAGCAGGUUUUUCUUUUGUUGUAGACUGUGAGUAAUCGGUGUUUUUCUGCCUAUUGUGCUGCGUGGAAGACACAGAAGUGUAGAAAUGUUUGUGGUUUAUCUUUGUUUGACGUUUUAUAUAGAGUUGGUUGAUUUAGGGUGAUUUCUCCCGUUUAAGGGAGGAGUUGCAUUGUGGUUAUGUUAAAGCUUUGCUGUAGGGGUAUGUGUGUGAUUUUGUGCUGGCUUCGCAUGAUUAAAUGGAUGCACAGAAGUUUGUGAGUGAGAAAUUGUUAUGGUGGGGUUUAAAGUUAGUAAAGAGUCAAACAACGCCCACUGUUUUAAAAAGGCCCAAAACGUCAUGAAAGACACCUCACAUCCUGGCCACUCCCUGUUCGAACUGUUGCCCUAAGGCAGACGGUACAGGGCAACCAGAGCUACUAAUAGACUCAAACACAGCUGUUACCCAACUGCAAUAACACAUCUGAAUACUACAAAAAUGUCCACCAUGCCACUCUUGUGUUAAUCUAUGCACGGUCUGGAGCAUGACUGUGGGAAUACUUGGUAUGUUAAGUAUUCUAUCUAUUUUAUUUAUUGAAUUUUAUUGUUUUGUUUGUAUUUGAUAUUGCUAGGGAUGAUGCAAUGAUCGGGGACCAUUCUUAAUUUCGUUGGUCUCAUGACAAUGACAAUAAAGUUUUUGAUUUUGAUUCUGAUUCUGACAUCCACCCUCCUCAAGAGUUCAAUGAUUUAGGCAGUUAUGUUUAUACAAAUACUAAAUGUAUGUUUAGUGUCUUCAUACAGGUGUUUUUUCUUAACCUGGAAACCUGAGUACGGCAGCAGAAGACAGGCCAAGCUUUGGCUAAAAUUCACGGCUGGACACCAGAGUUGUCCUCACCCCUCCCGGAAAAACAAAAAAGAGAGAAUGUAGUUUGAGGCAGGUUUUUCUCGCUGAACUGCUCUGGGUGCUGUCUCCCUGAAUCUCACCAGUGUUAACCUCUGGCGGAAGACAUGGAGAAAAGGAAAAGAUGUUCCUGCCGAAGCUGACCUGGACUCCUACCCUCCCCUCUACCAUCGUUGCCCUCUCCGCGACCAUUUUUGACCCUUUGACCCCUGAAGGCCACAGCAGCUGGACUCACAACAACAAUUUGAGGAUGUCAACAGUGCUGCAAAAGAGCGAUCUCAUGCAGCAGAGACGGAGAGCACUAAACCUAAAGCCCGUUUCACUACACGGGGGAAAUUCCCAGGCUGCGUCAGCUGACAGAGCUGUGACGAGACGCGCAUUAAGCCCGGAGGAAAAGGGAGGGUGAGCAAAAGAAUGCUGACCUCUGAGAAGAGCCGAACGGAAGAGCUGCAGAAGGCCGUGGAGCAGAGUAAGGACAACAUAAACAGACUCCAAUCUGACGUGGAAGGAAAGACUCUGAGGUGUUUGCCCUCAGUAAGAGCUCAAGGCAUCAGAACAGAAAUUGAGCAUGGCUCCGGAGGAGCUGGCUGCUAAUUGAACUCAUCAGUCAGACUUGGAGUUUCACGUACAGGACUUGUAAUCAGGCGGAAGCUUGCUGGAGCAGGAGGUCGUCAGACUUGACGCAAAGCUCCAACAGCAGGAGUAAACCCUGAAAGACCAUACAGAAGCAAAAGGGUCAAGUUACAAGGAGAAGAUGCAGGCAGCUGCAACAACGGAUGAAAACAGACCCAAAGAGGAGGGGAGGACCCUAGGCCAUGCGUCAGGCCGCUGGUUUACCUAAACUACAGAACAGGAAGGUGAUGAACACAAACAUACACCAACACGCGAACACACACUUCUGCAUGCGCCUACUUAGAAUGAAGGGAAACACACACAUGAACACUUAUGCACUUGUUGAGGGAGUAAAAACUGAUACAUACCCAUGCACUAAAAUCAAAAUGUUGAUUUAAUUUACUAAGAAGUGACACACAAUGCUCCAGCUGCUGCAAUGAAGAAUGCUUUACUGACAAAGGCUCAAUGCUGCACACGACAACGUCAAAUACAGAAUUUGCUAUAAUAAUAAGUCCAUAGGGCAUUUGUGUGGUCUGGGGAGCCGAGUCCGGAGCGGUUUGGUUAUGAAAACGAUGCCCGUGCGAGAUAUCUGGGGCUUAAGGCCUCGACUUAAUUGUUUACUGUACACUAAAAAGAAAAGAAAACCCUCUGAGCAGUGGUGCAGAGUGAAAACGAGGAAUUAACAGUGUGAGUUUUAGUUCAGAGCGCCACGUCAUUGUGAUGGAGAUUUAAUAAAGGAGGAACACACGGACAAAGAAGAAGAGAAGGGGGGACAGCCUUUGAGCACGAUUGCCUGAGGCAUUAAAGUUCUGUACUAAAUUCUGGUUUCCAGUGUGAGAAAAAGUCACGCAGUGCCAGUAGUAGAGCUAGGUUGAGUGAUGAUUCUAAAUUACUGUAAGGAAAUCAUCGUACACCGUUCAAGGUUCAUGAUAACGGGGAUCUAGACUUUGUUGAACCCUAGGCAAUUUGAACAGGUAAAAUUCGAGUGACCAAGUAGCAGUUGAAUAAAAGUCAUUGAAUAAGUGUUGAAAUAAACUGGCAGAAUUAAGAGAAUUAAAACAUUUCAAGAGCUCAAAUUACUUAAUGGUUCAAUUUUGUUUCACGAACGCGAAACAUAUAGGUUUAUGAAUAUGAAAAGGUUGAGGUGGUGUUGAUUUGACUCUGUGUAGGUUUAGGUUUGGUAUUUUUAUUGAUGGGAAGAAUAUUCAGUGACAAGUCCUAAGACCCGGGCGUCUGCAUUUUGUUUUUGUUAUUUUUCAUUUUAUUUUGUUUUAUAUUUUGAACAGUGCACUGAUUUUUGUUUGUGAAUCUUUUCUUUAAGCAGAUCUGCACAUCGGAAAUUACAAGCAGUACACGUCGGCGAGAAAAUUGUUGUAAGUGAGUUUCUCCGCAUUGAAAUGGGUUCUGGAGGAAACACUUGUGGGGACAAUUAGAAACGAGAGUCCCUGUUUAAAAAAGGAUUCAGCGAGGUAAUCCAAAUUCAAGUUCUUGUUUUCCUUUUGAGAUGACGUCAUUUUGCUGAGUGUGGAAACUAUAUGCGAUGACAGGUUUCACUAUCA